AUUGAACGCUGGCGGCAGGCUCAACACAUGCAAGUCGAGCGGAGAGAGGUAGCUUGCUACCGAUCUUAGCGGCGGACGGGUGAGUAAUGCUUAGGAAUCUGCCUAUUAGUGGGGGACAACAUUUCGAAAGGAAUGCUAAUACCGCAUACGUCCUACGGGAGAAAGCAGGGGAUCUUCGGACCUUGCGCUAAUAGAUGAGCCUAAGUCGGAUUAGCUAGUUGGUGGGGUAAAGGCCUACCAAGGCGACGAUCUGUAGCGGGUCUGAGAGGAUGAUCCGCCACAAUGGGACGGGGACACGGCCCAGACUGCGACGGGAGGCAGCAGUGGGGGAUAUUGGACAAUGGGCGCAAGCCUGAUCCAGCCAUGCCGCGUGUGUGAAGAAGGCCUUAUGGUUGUAAAGCACUUUAAGCGAGGAGGAGGCUACUUUAGUUAAUACCGAGAGAUAGUGGACGUUACUCGCAGAAUAAGCACCGGCUAACUCUGUGCCAGCAGCCGCCGUAAAAC
rnacentral:rRNA from 1 species